AUACUUACCUGGACGGGGUCGAUGGCUGAUCAAGAAGGGCCAUGGCCUAGAUCAAUGGCUCACAUUGCAUUUGGUGAGUGUGUUGGUCUACCAUCUCCUCAAGUGGGAGAGUGGAUGUCGUAAUUUGUGAUAGAGGGGUAUGUGUUCGCGCGGCCCUUG
rnacentral:snRNA from 2 species